rnacentral:rRNA from 1 species
AGGAUGAACGCUAGCUACAGGCUUAACACAUGCAAGUCGAGGGGCAGCAUGAUCUAGCUUGCUAGAAUCGAUGGCGACCGGCGCACGGGUGAGUAACGCGUAUCCAACCUUCCCUAUACUAGAGAAUAGCCCGGCGAAAGUCGGAUUAAUGCUCUAUGUUCUUCUUUGAUGGCAUCUGACGAGAAGCAAAGGUUUACCGGUAUAGGAUGGGGAUGCGUCUGAUUAGGUGUUGGCGGGUAACGGCCCACCAAGCCUACGAUCAGUAGGGGUUCUGAGAGGAAGGCCCCCCACAUUGGUACUGAGACACGGACCAAACUCCUACGGGAGGCAGCAGUGAGGAAUAUUGGUCAAUGGGCGAGAGCCUGAACCAGCCAAGUAGCGUGCAAGGACGACUGCCCUAUGGGUUGUAAACUGCUUUUAUGCGGGAAUAAAGUCAGGUACGUGUACCUGUUUGUAUGUACCGCAUGAAUAAGGACCGGCUAAUUCCGUGCCAGCCGCAGC